rnacentral:lncRNA from 1 species
AUGGUUCUAGUGAAGAGAUUUUUGAAAUGGGAAAGAUGGGACCGGUCCAAUUGGGGAAUCAGCAAUAAAAACCAUGAACUGAAACAAGUCUCCAAUAAAACGAGUGAUUUGCGGAUAGAGCUACGGCAACAAGGAUCUAACAUCCUUAAUGAUUCCUCUGAAGAGUCUCAAGAGAACAAGAACGAAGAAAAGGCACAAACAGAUAAGCCAGCAGAUGAGAACGCAGGAAAUGCGCACAAAAACGUAGCCGUGUCUACAAUACAGUCUCCGAAGCCACGAAGACCAAAAGUAACUGAUUCUUUAGAACUUUCUCGGGAAAUUCAUGAAAUUUUAGAUCGAGCCAUGCGCACUAACAAAGACGUCUCUGACAGAUCGAGGAUUCCUGCAAAAAAUGACGACAUCUCUGCGAAAUUAAAUCCUGAGGCUCAAGAAUUGUUAGUCAAACUCGUCAGUUCCUCCGAGCAAAUCGACAGUGUCAGUAUCGAAAAGGACUUGAGAAAAAGAAAUAUCAAAUCAGAGACACAAAUUUCAGUGCCUCAAGGAUCUCGAAGUCGUGAUGAUGGGUCCGAGGAAAGUUUAAACAAUGGAAACAAGUCUGAACCUACAAUAAGCAGCACAGGACGGAAUAACCAGAGUGAUUCGUCUGGAAUGGAGGACAGUGAUGACGAAGACGAAACGAUGCAGAUUGACAGCGACGAUGAGGACAGCCGAUCCGAUUCGGAGCAAACGGUGGAUCUGUCGUUGCAAGUCUCGGGUCGCCUGGCGCUCAUGAUCGGAGGAGGCGCCAUGGAUGACGUAGGCUCGAACGUGGACUACAACGGACUAAUCGACACGAAGGUCGUCUCCAGCGAGUUCGAUUUCCAAGUUGCCGCGGGCCCUCCUUGGGCACCAGACAGGGUGGUCGAACCCUUCAGCUGGUCUACGAGCUUUAUCAGGAACUCCCCGCACAUCGGCCAAGUGGACACGUGGGACUACGAUUUCGCACCACUGCGCUGGGCCUGGCCUGUCAACUUCAACGAGACUUCAGCGUAA